rnacentral:rRNA from 1 species
GACGAACGCUGGCGGCGUGCCUAAUACAUGCAAGUCGAACGAAGUGGCGAACGGGUGAGUAAUACGUGGGUAACUGCCCCCCUCUCUGGGAUAACAGUUGGAAACGGCUGCUAAUACCGGAUAGUGGGGGAUGACUCGCGGCCUAUCUGCUGGUUGGUGGGGUAGUGGCCUACCAGGGCGACGACGGGUCGCCGGCCUGGGAGGGGAACCGGCCACAUGGGGCUUGGCUACGGCCCAAACUCGUACGGGAGGCAGCAGUGGGGAAUAUUGCACAAUGGGGGAAACCCUGAUGCAGAAACGCCGCGUGCGGAAUGACUGCCUUCGGGUUGUAAACCGCUUUCAGCCAUGACGCGGUAGUGGCAGAAGAAGCACCGGCUAACUACGUGCCAGCAGCCGCGGUAAUUC